AUUGAACGCUGGCGGCAGGCCUAACACAUGCAAGUCGAGCGGAGCGGCGGACGGGUGAGUAAUGCCUAGGAAUCUGCCUGGUAGUGGGGGAUAACGUCCGGAAACGGGCGCUAAUACCGCAUACUAUCAGAUGAGCCUAGGUCGGAUUAGCUAGUUGGUGGGGUAAAGGCCUACCAAGGCGACGAUCCGUAACUGGUCUGAGAGGAUGAUCAGUCACACUGGAACUGAAACACGUUACAGACUCCGACGUGAGGCAGCAGGGGGGAAUAUUGGACAAUGGUCGAAAGCUUGAUCCCGCCAUGCCGCGGGUGUAAAGAAGGUUUUCGUAUUGUAAAGCACUUUAAGUGGGAAGGCGUUACCAACAGAAUAGGCACCGGCUAACUUCGUUCCAGCAGCCGCGGUAAUAC
rnacentral:rRNA from 1 species